AAUGGGCGGACAAAUCGAGACACCUUAGGAAAUAUUAAUUUUUUAGCAUACAAGUACUCCGUCUCUUAUUUGGAGCAAAAUUCAUAGGUUCCAGAACCAUCUUUUCUAAAAUCUCCCUCAAGCCCUCCCUUCUCACACACCUACUCGCUGAUCAUCAUUUCAGUCGUUCAUUCUCAGCCUAUACCAUCUCAUGUCCUCGCCGCUAGUUGUUCCUUCUCCCUUAUACAAGUUAAGUUGAUGAUGUUGAUGGAGGCUAACCUUAGAAAUUCCUAUAUAUUGGAGAAAAUUGAGUCUCAAAUUUCGAUAAUAACGAGGUAUUUUUUUUUCUGUUUAUCACCAUCUUAAUUUUGUUAAGAAAUUGAUUUUUUUGUUCAGUUUGAUAAUAUUGCUUAGUUUUAGAUUUAAUUAUCCCCCUUGUGUAUGUGCUCAAUUAUGAUAUAGUAACGUAGAUUGUUUUGGGAAUUUCAGGUUUUGUUCAAUUAAACAUUUUUUGGGGGGUUUUAGGGUUAAUGUUUAAUUAGUUUUUUAAAUUUAUUGAAUUCAAUUAACACUCCAAUAUUGAAGUUUCGAAUAUUUGAUUUGUAAUAUUGUUCUUUCAAUUUCAAUAGAAGUGUUCUGAAUUACUUUGUGUUCCUCUAUGCUUCUUAGAGACUCAUAGUAGUUAAGAAGGUAUAGUAGUUUAGUUUAAAAAAAUGAAUUGGCCUAGUUGUUAAUUUGUUAUCAAUUCUAUGGUCUUUAGAGUGUAAACCACAAGUCUCAAAGUUAAGGAAUCGUAUUGGUCAUGCUAUUGUAGACGAGGUGGUUUUUUUUUUUUUGUUUUUUUGAUAUACUGUUCUUUGGUUUUCUAUUGUUUAGAUGAUUUCGACUAAGAUAGUUAUUAUUUUGAAGCUCAUGGAUGUUUUAACCCAUGUGUAUCAAGGGGUAUUCACCUCACGACUCUCGCACUCAAAGAAAGUAUCAUACCACAUAUCAAAUUCCCUCUCAUUGCUAAAAUAUUCUCUAAUUCCAUCCUUGAUAUACUUGACAUAUUCUCUAUAUAUUUGGUGUAGGGUUAGCUUGUUGAAGUUGAUGGACUCUACAGUCCUGUUCUGAUGCUGCUCAAAGCUGUAAGAUUAGUUAUCAUGCUAUUGCUCUCUACCUGUGUCUAAAACUUCAAAGUAGGGAGAUUUCAGCUUGACUACUAGCCACUAGAUCAGAGUGACCAAAUUAUCAUUGAUAAUACACUGCUAGGUUAAGUAGUAUUAUGGUAUUAAUUGGCAUUCCAAGAAUUUAACUCAGUGACCAAAUUCCAUUUAUUGCCUUUGAUCUGAUUUUUUACGCAUUACUUUUUUGGUGGAGUUGGAUAUAAUUAUCCAUAUCUAUUGGAGCGUAUAUUCGAAAGAAAAGCCCUUUUGAUUUCAUCUUGUCUGAUUGGCAUGCCAGGUACAUGCUCCGUUUAUUUUUUUUAUCAUUUUGCUUGGUACAAAACUACCAAACUAAUUUGCCAAUUAGAUCAUUGACAAAUAUAUGAUGCAUACUAAACUUAAUGGUGAAAGUUAACGUAUAGAAAAGUAAGGUGAGGAGAAAAUGUCAUUCUUGGAGUUAUUGUUUGCCUUCUUGGUCGUCAUGGUACGGUCUUUAUCAUGUUGAGAUAAUUCUUGAGUCAACAUAACUUACUAUAUGGACACAUCUAUUUUGGCAGACUAGUUAGUUGUAGACAACUUCUUCUACUUUCACAAUUAUUGUACAUUUGUACAUGAAGUAUAAGAUAAAUAGAAUUAGGGGUUUCUUGCACCAUAAACUAGAAAAUCAUGUGAAAGCUCAUCUAUUUGAUUCUAAUGCUUUUUAGUUCGUUUAUGUAGUAGUGCGCGUUCUGUCGCAAUCGACCCAAAAGUCGAACAGAACGUAUCCUAUCUCUUGUAGUUGAUGAAUUAAGCCUAAAUACUGGAACACUGCUCAGAAACCCGAGAUUCAUUAAAUAAAAGGAGAAAUAGCAAGGCCAAGUGGUUAGUUUUCUGAGAACCGUGACGCACCUCUCAAGGGUGCGUUGUAAUGUGUCCCUUCGCAUGAUUUAAUCGCUUUCAUCACCCUUUUAUAAAAUUAUUAAACUAUUAAUUUGAUUUCUCUGUCACGCCUAAUAAGAUAAUACCUUGGACAAUUGAAUUAUCAUGCUAGGUAUCUUAAAUCAAUCUAAAUAAGAUAAUCACGAUCGAUUUAGUAUUAUGUGUUGCAUAUUGCUAAAAUCAAUUCAGAAUAGUUUAAUAGUUUAAACGCAUGUACCUUCAAUUAUUUAUGCUGAGCUAGUAAGGAUAACCUGCCUCUAGAGUUAUCGAUAAGCACUCCUCUCGGUAGUUACAGUCCCCCGAACUCCCAAUCUCUGCCCUGCGGGUGUACGUUGAGCGAUCCCCACACCAGGGAUCACAAGGGAACCUAUGGCCGUCGUGGUCGAGCAUAAUUGCACUCCCUUUAUGUCACGAUAACCGGGUUUUGUCAGUUUUUCUCAUUGUCGUUAAAAACUGAAUGGCGACUCCUAUGUUACUAGUCGAUUGGGUGUAAACUCACAGGAAAUCUAACUACACUUGAUCUGACGACGUCACGCCCACGAGGGACGAGGUAAUGCAUUAGCCUCGUGCUUUUUCGACCCCCUCACAGUGGCGACUCCGCUGGGGGACGUUAAUGAAAUACUCGUGCUCGUAGGUAAUCAAAAUAGCCGAAGGGUGAAACGAUCCUAUUCCGCGUUUAUUUCCUUAUCAAGUUGGGACGACCUGAAAAUCAACAUAUUAAUGUGAACGGACAGAACCGCAUAACGAAUCUCGGCUCCCUUGGCAUGUUUCAUCUCGGAAGUUGGGACUAAGGAUACCCAUCGCCAACCGGGGGGUGCAUACGCUUCGAACGUUGUCCACUCGGCACUUUUCGCUAGUAAUACACCCGUCCCAAACCCAAUCGCUCGCCCACUAAGGUCCCUCUCAUUGGUGCAUGCCCCCUUGGCUUACAUCGUGAUUGGCCUCUUGGGACGAAAUUCGUCUGUUGAAUGCACUAUCUCGACUGGGGCAUGUGUUGGAUCUACGAUAGAAGCGGUACCAAGCCGGCGCAAAUAUUACCCAUAGAAGCCUAUUAUAAACUACGUGACAUAUUAUUUUUGCUUCAUGUUGUAAUGUUAGUUAUGUGUAGCGAAUUACGUGAUUGUGUUGUGAUUGUGUGUGACAAAUAACGCUAGAAAACCAACGACCCUUAAAAUUGCCCAAACAUUCAUAAACACCAAUUGGCCAAAGAGUUAUACCUAAAUACGUGUCCUGCAAUCCCGGGCGAUCGCCACAAAAAUAAGCGACGCCCAGGACGGCCUGUAACGGAUCCCACGACGCUGAAUAACGCGCAAAGGACGUUAUUGGGCAAGCACGCAAAAUUAAGUCGUAUGUACGAAAAAAAUAGACGAACAGAAUACGAGUACUAGUCAGGGACGCAUUUUCAGCGCCCCUGGCUGGGCGCCAAUUAUUUCAACGCCCCUGCUGGGCGCUGAAGUUGCUGCUUGGCCUUUGGCCCGCGCACAAAAUAUACGUAGCAAUAAAAAAUUCGUAACAAAUUUGCUACGAGGACGUAUGAAAAACGCACUCGAUUCUAAGAACGACUUAUAAAAUAAACAACUCUUUGUGUCGUCAUUAGGCCUCCUAUGACGACAAUGUUUGGCACCAAAACCGAGCACGCUAAUUAAAUGACCUUGAAUGUCACAUGGGCAAAGUAUUCAAACAAAAUAAUGUUCAAAUAAAGUUUUCAAGGAAAAAUAAUGUUCGAAUAAAAAAUAAAUAAAUCUGAGUCUAGACUAGGCUAUGCCAAAGUACAAUCUAAAUCCUAAGUCUUAGUUGUCUUAUACAUAGAAUCGGUCCUAAUGCUUGGUGUCGUCCUACAAGUUAAAAGGUUAAACCAUAUUGAGUCUCCCUUCCUAACAUUUAAAAGAAAUCAAUAAGCGCCCAUAUGUAAUUGUCAUCCCUUGUUAAGAAUCUACGGCCUCAAUACUCUCUCUCACCAAUAACAAGAAUAUAUUAUAUAAUUCAAGUAUUUGCAAAAUGGAAACAGUCACAUUCUGAAAAUCAUUCCUCCAUAGUCGCACAACCCCCAAAGUGAACCUAAGGUGUUAAUACCAUUGGAAAAAAAAAUUAAUGGCCUCAAGGCUUAUGAUCACAUUGGGUCACGACUAUCAUAGUCCUCUCGAGCCACUCGCUCCUUGAAAUACUCCUAAGCCCGGACUAAAAGAUUUUCCAUGAAUGCAACAUGACGAACCAUGAAAGUACCCAAAUCGGCAUGCCAUAAGGCUACCAUUGGGGUAAAGCGAUACACACCAAGAGGGAAGCCGCACUAAUGAUUCUAGUCUUGCAAAAAUGAAAAUUCGAUCUCCCCAACUAACUACCUUGCCAACAUUAAGCAAAAUGGCGCAUGACAAAUGAACACCCAAGGGUUAAAAUCUAAAGUGUCAACCAACGAAAGUUAUGGUCCAAUUAGCCUAAGUCUGAGAGUCGCUUGGUCAAGUAUUAUAGGCUUACGCCUCGUCAUUAUUUUGAGUCUAGGCCACCUUCUUGUAUUCAUACACGGGUUAUAAUCAGAAAAAUUAAUGAAAGUUCGAGUCUAAAUCACAACUUCCAAUUAAAUCCCGGAAACUGGAAUCUGAAAAGAAGCAAAAAAAAUUAUUAUUUUCGAUGUAAUUCUUUCGUUAAAAUUCUAUAAAGUAAAAAACAACAUUUUGAAUCUACGCUAUUUGCACAUUUUAAGAAACGACUAAAUACGCUUGCAAAGUAAAACAAUUUAAAGGUCCACCCUAGGCCUACUAAAAUUAAAGGUCCACUAUAGGCCUACCAAACGAGGCUCACUCAGUCUCGCCUCGUGACUCAAAGACCACAACCAUCUACCUUUUAGCCCAAAUAAAAAGGGGGGAGAAAUCCCAAGCAAAAAAAGAAAAAAGAGAAAGAGAAAAGGGAGAGCGAAAAGAGCGAGCCAUGAAAUACUUAGCCCGUACCUCCCAAAGUGCGAAAUUUACCCAAGUAAACGGAGGAAAAGAAUUGAGUCAACCAAUCCAAAUCAUACCACAAAAACUACAUAAAGUUCUACGAUCUUCUACCCUUUCCAAUCCUCAUGCUUGACUAAUACCUAUACAAAUUAUCCUAUCUCAUUCAACCCAUCUUUCAAGCCGUCUUGAGUCACGAAUAAAAAAAAACAAAUGAAAAGUACAUUCUACGCUUAACGUAAAAAAAUUAAAUAAAAUAAAAAUUUUAAAAUUAUAAAAAAGAAACUUUGCAAAGCGCCUUUAAAGUUUGUCUAAAAAAAAAAAGAGAAAGCAUUUAGCGCACAAAAAAAGAUUCGCAAAUAUUUGGCACAAAACGAAAAGAAGCAACGAGCCAAGAAAUCUCCCCAGGAAUCACUUUCAACGCCCAGAGCUGGGCGCCGGAAUCUAUAACGCCCCAGCCUGGGCGCUGAAUCUCUUUGCUUGCCAAAUUUUGUCCAGAAGUGCUCGUCAUUUUAUCCGCACAUACACGGAAAAAUAACGAACACUUGGAGGGGUACAACACGUAUUCAGAUAUACGUACCAAAAAAAACAAGAAAAGAUUUUUGUGCAAAUACAUGUACUUAAAAAAAUAAAACAAAUUUUUGGCUUACGGCAAAGCAGCAGAUUAAAAUAAUAAUAAACUUCACUUAUUUCACCCUAUUUCAAACAUUACGAUUCCACUCGAACGUACUUUUUUAAAAUUGGAAUUCUAAGAAACCAUUUUCUGGCUAAGAACUACGUAAGACCUGAUUCCAAAUUAAAUCUAUUUAAGGCGGAUACGUAGGCAAUCCAUGAUUCGGUCCAACCAAUUAGCAAAAAUGUUAAAACCUAUAGAAUAACAAGAAUAAAAAAUAGAGUCCCUUAUUGAAAUUUAAUUACUUGCAAUCCAAGUCGAAAGAAAAAAUUUAAGUCAAAAGAAGAAUCCAAGUCAUCAAGAUGCCAAAAUAAGCACACAUCGAAAAAUAAUAAGGGCACGUACCCUUGCCAGAAGGAGCACUCACACUCCUAGGCACUUAGCCAAUAUUCAAAAGAUCGCUUUGCCUCAAUUGAAUGGGGGCUAGCGCGAGCGUCCAUGACCUCUAAAGUACUCGACUUGACCCUCCCUAAAGCAAAGUAACUCACUUAAAGACCUUUCACCACUAGACAUAGUCAUAAUCGCCAACAAGUAGUAAAGGAAGUAAGCUUGCAAUAAAGAGGAUUGUUCUACGGCAUCGCCCCAUCGUUCCUUCGAACUCAGGCUAUCCGUUCAUGGUAAUUCAAAUGCUUGCGAAUCCCCUUUGAAAAAAAAUCAGACAUUGUCAAUAGGACUUGGCACUUAACCAAGGCUCACCCUACUCAGACAUAUGACACGGGCAUCUAAAAUCGAAAUCUGAAAGCAUCAUUAGUGAGAAGACAUAAUAGCAACUGGGGGCUAAAAAUUGAAAUGAAGGAGCUAGGGAAAGAACUAAGUAUACCUUGACCUUUUGUGCAGACAUACACCAAGUAAAUCUAAGUCAAUUUGAAAGUGGUUUAUAUUCCCGAAAUUCUGGAAAAGAUGGCCCUAAAAACCUAAAGCGUGUACCACACGGGCACAAGUAAUAUCUUGACGCCUGCACCCUGGCUUCCAGCAAAUCCUUAGACAGCAUUCCGAAAAUCGUAACAGUAUUUUGAUUUACUCAUGUAAUCCUGUACGAACCCUUCUAUAAGUCAACUUACCUAGGACACCUCGGAUUGUACACAGUAGGACUCGGAUUUCAAAUAAUUUUCAAAGACUUCUUCGAACAUAAUAAAGUGUCGUUGGUUUAAGCUAAGUAUGCGUUUAUCUCGAUGUUGCAAGUGAGUCAAAAAGAUUUCUAAAUAUGAUUAUGGGUAAAGAAAGGCACCUAGCUUUUGGUCAAGGCACACUUCAACAUGUGACUACCUUGACUAUGGCAAUGUCGCACAAUACGACAUUUACAAGAGAAGUAGCAAAUCACUACUCGAACGUACCUCGCACUAAACGAGUCUGGUUCACACUAUUCAUGAUCCAUGCCACCAUUAAUGCAUAAAAACGUAUGCCAAGCAUUAUAUCACCAAGCCAAUCCCUUAGCUACAAUUGGGGGCUUGAGAAAAACACUCCAAAAAUGCUCGAAAUGACGAUUUUAUCGCAAAUUCUCGACGCUAAUGCUAUACAUACAUCAUAGGGGCACAAUCCUAAGGUUUGAUCGUGUAAAACGAACCUUAGAAUGGCUACAACCCCUCCCACAUUCUAAGCGCUACUUAGAAUAUAUAAAGUCACCCCACUAACAAGGGUAACUGAAAAUCGCGAGUCACCAAAACUCCGAUCAAACUACUGCACAUAACGCUCGCCCUACAAGCGCCCGUUACACAGUCUACGUCGUUCCAAAGCAAAAGCGAAAAAAAUCAAGGAUGAUAAAAAAAAAGAAAGAAAGAAACAUCUAUGAAUCCUCGCAUCGAACGAAGUAAUAAGCCGUGCACACCCACGCAGAAGGUGCUACACUUGUUCAAGCACCUGAACGAGGCGUGAUGAAGUACUCCAAUGCAAAAAAUAAUAAUAAUAUCCCAACACCUGGAGGAAUGAUCUAAGACACGCUGUUAGGCCACACAAGCCUACGUCGCACCAUAAGUUUAACCAUCCCACGGUACAAGUCUAAAAAAAAGAGUAAGGCAUAUUGCACUAAUGCAGGCACGACCAAGAGCAUGUGUAAAAGAGGCAAAGACUACUUAUCGCCCAAAUUCAAAAUGCAAGGCACACGACUUCUACAUUAAGGAUUAAAGGUAGAAAAACAUUACCUACCACAGAAGGGAUAGCUCGCACCUACACGAGCGGAACCCCAAGGCAUCUUUCUCGAAAGAACCUACAAAAAUUGUACGCCAAAAGGAAGCAUCCCAACAUGCAUACUUGGGGGCUACAAGCUACGAAACGACCGUAGCAAAAUAAAAAAUCUCAAAGCAAAUGUUUGAACGAUCAAAAGGGCACGAUGCUUGAGCCCACUUCAUGAAUGGGCCUGAACCCUAUCAAGCUUCUAAGCAAACUAUUCAACAUCAGUCAUUGCUCAAAAAAAAAAAAAAUGAUUCAGACAAACUGAUUAAUGGACCGCACGCAACGGCCAUUCUAUGAACGCUCAUUCGCACGUACAUUCUAAGUAGCGAACAUUCACGAACACGAUCAAAAGAAAAAAAAUAUAUACGUUCAAAAUAACAACAAGAGCGAUCAAAGUCUUACGCCUCAAAGUAUGUUCCUCGGGCCAUAUGGACUCGCCCGAUUAUUGCAAUAACUGUACGCCUUAAGAGCAACAGUCCCUUUAAAAAAUCGCCCCAAAGCGACAAACACCGUAGUCCACCAAUCGGCUACAGCUUCUCGAGAAAUCAUCACGAGAAAGUCCUGCCUGGGACGCACUUUCAACGCCCAGGACCAGGCGCUAGAUAUUCCGACGCCCAGCUCUGGGCGCUGAAAAUCAGCUCAACUCAUUGUGAUCUCUAACAAAAUUCUACGUUCCAAAAAUAAAGAAAAACAAAAGAGAAGAGAAUACGUAGAAUUUCCAAGUGAAAUAAACGAACGAACAAGAGGCCAACUAUGUCAUCAAAAGACCAGCCCAAGCAAUAUUUUCAACGCCCCACUUGGGAGUGAGAUAUUUCUAACGCCCAGGCCUGGGCGCCGAAAAUGAGCCCAGGUCCAAAAGAAGCCCGGAUUUCUAUAGGGCCCUGCCGUAUCCAUUCGACUCAAAAAUUGCCGAUUUCUUUACUGAAAGUCGCACCUCACGGCUUUGUUAAGAGUAGCACACCACUACAAAGAUCGCUCGCACUUACGAGCACGAUCCCAAACACGAUCAAGGACAUUACAAAAUGCGUAUCCCCAAGGAACCUCUUUGACAAGAAAUGACCGUCAAGCACGAGUGCUUGGGGGCUCGAAAGAAAAUAUAUAUUUCAAAAUAGAGUAUGCAAAGUAAAACAAAAGAUAAAACCGGAUUACGACCUCAAGACAAAGGUCGCCGUUGAUACUUAUACAUAGUCCCCUAAUCAAGGACCCAGGUAGUGGCAAAAUUGAGUCGUAAAGACUAGCUCAAAACCAUGAAAGAUGAUGACCACGAGACAAUGGUCCGUCUAAGCACGUUGUCAAUCCACAUUCAGGUUGCAACUAAAUCCGAGCAUCCCUCGAAAGAAAAUAAAUUCUUCAAAAAAAAAAAAACAGGCUCUCCAUCUUCAGCCGGCGGGGUCUGCGUCACUAACCGCGCAGGUCCUCAGUUUUCGAAAAUGAAAAGGAAAUAAAAUCUUCAAGAACAAAAACAGGCUCGCCAUCUUCAGCCGGCGGGGUCUACGUCACAAACCGCGUAGGUCCUUAUUUUCAAAAACAUCAAAACAGAUUCGUCCACUUCUAUCGGACGGGGCGUCCACCCUCAGCGGACAGGCUCGCCCACCUUCAGCGGGCGGGGUCUGUGUCACUAACCGCGCAGGUCCUUAGUCGCUGCAGCGAUAACUUUUCCUGGUUUAUCUUUUUCCAAAAAUCAAACGAUGGUUUAUCUUUUUCCAAAAAUCAAAAGAUGGUUUCCCUUUUCCAAAAAUCAAAGGAUGGUUUCCCUUUUCCAAAAAUCAAAGGAUGGUUUCCCUUUUCCAAAAAUCAAAGGACCGUUUCUCUUAUCAAAAAUCAAAAAAUUGGUUUUCCACUUUUCCAAAAAAGAGUGAUGUGCUGGAUUUUCUUGCAUUUUACGUCCUAUAAAAACAAGGGGAUUUUUCUCGUCUAGCUAACCCUGAAAAUGAGAAUCUUUAAAAACAUUUUUACCUCGUGAUUGGGCUUGGCCAGGCUUGGUUACACUUUAUAGCUUUGAUUUCGAAAACAUCUGUAGAUACUUCCAAUGACAAAGUGAGGGAGUUUCUAUACAUCUUUAGAUACUUCCAAUGACAAAGUGAGGGAGUUUCUAUACUAUUGGUUAACAGAUUCCAAUGACACGUGAGGAAUGUGUUAACACUUCAAGUGAUGACCCUUAAGUCAAAUGUAAUCACUCGGGGGCUCGUGAGACCCUCGCAAAACAAGUCACAUACACCAUGGCUUGUAUGACGCACUCCGUCCAGUACUUUGACCAUCGUCUCAUCUCGAGACUCAGUCAAAGUAGGGGCUAACUGUAGACACCUACUUUUGUCCCCAUUCCCGAAAGGGAAGGUUCGAUGAUGAGAACGUAAAUCUCCACUUGGCAACGCAUCUCCUAUAAAAUAACGAAUCUCAAUCACCCUUUAAUUUCAGCCAAAAUUGCUAUUUAUAGAAACCUGCUAAAAAUAGUAACUGCCGUAAGAAGUAGUUGUUAAAAGUGGCAAAGUCAUAAAAGAUAGAAAUCUGUCAGAAUUAGGUGUUGCACUCCAACAUAAGUCCUAAAAGAGAUAGAAUUGGCAAAAGGAAUUUUAUUCCUGCUAUAAUUCGAAAAUAAGAGUUACGUAUUAAUUAAAUUCCUAACGAAUCUAGAGCUCGUAACGGGCCCAGACGCAUUCCGUCAUAAUUUAAUACGUACUAAGAAACUCGGAUAAGUCUCAAAAGCUCCGUGUUUAAGAGUCCAGAUCUGACAAAAGGCUCGGCCCAGAUCCUAUUUUCAACGCCUGGGUCUGGGCGCUGAAAAUACCUGGGGCCGUGUCGUCUGCGAAUUCUUUUUGGAUUCAUAUUCUAAAGAUCUAUCUUUCCACAAACUCUUUCCCUAUAAAUACAACCUCAAAACCGACAACACAACAUGACACACAAUUCCAUAACCUGAGUAUUGACUCUAGCCUUAAAGCCGAGCCUCACGCUGCGAAAUUGAUCUGGCGUUCUGUCGCAAUCGACCCAAAAGUCGAACAGAACGCGUCCUGCCCCUUGUAGCUGAUGAUUUAAGCCUAAAUACUGGAACACUUCUUAGAAACCCGAGAUUCGUUAAAUAAAAGGAGAAAUAGCAAAGCCAAGUGGUUAGUUUUCUGAGAACCGUGACGCACCUCUCAACGGUGCGUUGUAAUGUGUCCUUCAUAUGAUUUAAUCGCUUUCAUCACCCUUUUAUAAAAUUGUCAAACUAUUAACUUGAUUGAUCUAUCACGCCUAAUAAGAUAAUACCCUGGACAAUUGAAUUAUCAUGCUAGGUACCUUAAAUCAAUCUAAAUAAGAUAAUCACGACCGAUUUAGUAUUAUGUGUUGCAUAUUGCGAAAAUCAAUUCAAAAUAGUUUAAUAGUUUAAACGCAUGUCCCUUCAAUUAUUUAUGCUGAGUUAGUAAGGAUAACCUGCCUCUGGAGUUAUCGAUGAGAACUCCUCUUGGUAGUUACAGUCCCCCGAACUCUCAAUCUCUGCCCUGCGGGUGUACGUUGAGCGAUCCCCACACCAGGGAUCACAAGGGAACCUAUGGCCGUCGUAGUCGAACAUAAUUGCACUCCCUUUAUGUCACGAUAACCGGGUUUUGUCAGUUUUUCUCAUUGUCGUUAAAAAUUGAAUGGCAACUCCUAUGUUACUAGUCGAUUGGGUGUAAACUCACAGGAAAUCUAACUACACUUGAUCUGACGACGUCACGCCCACGAGGGACGAGGUCAUGCAUUAGCCUCGUGCUUUUUCGACCCCCUCACAAGGGGCAAGCAAAUCCGACCUUCCUAGAAAAUUGGAUUAGGGAGUUUGAAAAACUCUUUGGGGCGGUAAACUGUCCUGAAAACAUGAAAGUAGGUCAAGUUGUCCUUUACUUGAAAGACGAGGCCGAUUAAUGGUGGAGAGAGAAUGGAACUAGGUUAAGUGCUUCUGAGGGGUUUAAUUGGGACUCAUUUGUUGUUUCAUUGAGGGGGAAGUUUUAUCCUCCUUUUAUGAGAAAGCAAAAAGCACAUGAAUUCAUAAACCUUGGGAUGGGGAGUAUGACCAUCGCUGAUUACUAUAGGAAAUUUAUAGCACUGUCGAGGUUUGCACCUGAGGUUGUAGCCACGGAGGAGCUAAAAGGCUUAGAGGUUUGAGUAAGGGUUGACCGAUGAGAUCCAGCUGGGAUUAGGUGGGGAAACCUUCACAUCUUUGGAUAUUGUGUAUGUGAGAGCUUCCCAUAUUUAUGGUUUGCAUUAUAGAAGGGACAAGAAAAAUGUUGUUGUUGGGGAGAAAAGAAAAGAGUUUAAUGCUGGGGAAAACCAAGGGAAUUUCAAGAGGAAUAUGAAUGAGAAUAGGAAUUGGAAUGGAAAUGGAAAUUUUCAAGGAAGGAACAAUCAGGGGCACAAUAAUAGGAAUCAAUCUGAGAGAGUGUAUCACUGUAAGAUGUGGAUUAACAACCAUCCUGGUGUAGAUACUGCAAUGGAGAAUUAGUGACCUGCAACUAUUGUCAGAAAAAGGGGCAUAGGGAGUAUGAGUGCUUCACUAAGCAGAAGAAGGAGAAGAAUAGUAAUGGGAGUGGUAACCAGGGGGACUUAGGGUUUAACCAUUCAGGGAACCAAGGUUCGAAGCCUGUAGGGGCACAAAACAGCCAGGGAAACCACAAUAAGUCUGCCAAUGAGAACAACAACCAUAAUAAGGCUCCGGAGAAACUGUUCGUGAUGACUAGAAAUGAAGCUGAACGUUCUGCAGACGUAGUUUAUGGUACUUUUUCUAUUAACUCCGUGCUAGUUAAAACUUUGUUUUUUAGAGGGCGACUUAUUCUUUUAUUCUGUUGUUAAAAGUUUGAAAUUAUUAGAUUUUGAGGUGAUUGAUUUACCUAUUAGUAUGCCUACUGGUGUAACCAUAAGGUGUACUAAAUUAUUUAAGAACUUUUCUUUGAAGAUAAAAGACAACACUUUUCCUUCUAAUCUGAUAGAAUUUAGUUUUGGGGUGUAGACACCUAAAUCGUGUCUCCCCAUUGGGAUGAUGACGGUACCAUUAUCCUUAUUAGGCGGUUGGAGCAAAGAAGUCCCAAUUGCUAAGAACAUUUCCAAAAUCCAAGAGCCAAAAUCCAAUCCCCGAGGCCGUUCCCAUUCCUGAACUCGGUACAAAAUACAAUUUCCAAAAAUAAAUUUCAAAAUCCAAGUACAAUCUCACCCAAUGGACUAUGCCAUUGGUUUUACAAGGCCUUUUCCAGUCGAAAUGACAUUAAGCAACCCAAAUUCGGGCGUCGACCCACAAAACCGAGCAAGCCGGGCCUCAUCCCGUAAAACCGAAUUCAAAAACCCGAAACGGCUUGUUUUUAGACGCAAACCAAGCCUUAAUCAUCAAGCAAACACUACGUGCCAACUUAGUACAAUUCGUACAAAGGUACACCAUUACAAGCCAAAAGCAAGGACGGCACCUUUCGUCCUUGUUUGGCAGCUUCUGUGCCACGUCAGCAGUGCCUGGCGCUGGCAGUUGCGCUGGACUCUGGCGUGGGCUGGCGUUUAGCAGCAAAUUUUCCUAUUUAAACCCCUAAUUCUGAGCAUUAUGGGGAGGCAAAAUCGAAAAUACAACGUCGUAAUACAAAAAUUGCCACUCAAAUCAAAAUACAAAAAUCCUCCAAAAUCUCAUACAAUUUCAAGUUCUAAGCAAUUGGGAGCUCAAAAAGGAAUUCUUGCCUAAACCUAACUAGGUAAUUCCGAAUCCCAACCCUAAUCAAUCAUGUUUCCUUGAUUUUCUCUUUCAAAAAUGAUUAUUAAGUUGGCACUUUUAAUCUUGAAAGUGUCACUUACAACAAUCAUACAUUUCUUACAAAAUCCAAACUUUAUGUGAUAUAAAAAUGCAAAUUUUUAAGAUUCAAUGAUGUUCAAGGUUGUUUGUAAUCACUUCCUUGAACUAGAAUCAUCUUCAAAAUAUGGAGUAAUCAAAGAUGAUUCCUUUCUAAUGUUUAAAGGUUUAAUCUUUGAGACUCAAGACUCCACUUUUCAAAUUUCAAGUUCAAGUUUCAAGAUCCAAUAAUGUUUAGGGUUUUUUGUAAUCACUUCCCUAAACUAGGAUCAUUUCAACAUUAAAAGGUCCAAUCUUUAAGAUUCAAGACUCUUAAAUUCAAUAUUUCAAGUUCAAGUUCAAUAUUUCAAGUUCAAGUUCAAUAUUUCAAAGUUCAACAUUUUAAGUUCAAUAUUUCAAGUCCAAUAUUUCAAGAUUCAAACUUUUCAAGUUCAUGUUCUAUGUGCAAAAUCUAGUACACUUUGGGAUGAACAACUUGUCCUAAAGUUGAAAUUUUUAGCUUUGAAUCCUUGUCGAACGCACUUAUUCUUAAGGAGUAGUUUGGCGUUCGGGUCUCAUGUGCUUAAGUUCAAUUUCAAUAUUGCAAUUUCAAUAUCGCACCUUUCAAUUAUGCAAUUUCAAUUCCGCACAUUCAAUUAUGCAAUUUCAAUUCCGCAGUUUCAAUUAUGCAAUUUCAAUUCCACAACUUUACUUGCCUAGUCCUUCUAGGCAAUGUGGUUUCACCUCCUAGUCCAUUUCUAGGUGGUCUUGUACUUUACUAAUUUUGCACCUAUUUUAAUUUCUAUUGUGAUGUUGCUUUACUUGUUUAUUGCUUUCAUCACCUCAUAUGCUAAAUACAACAAAAUACAAGGUUACACCACGCUUAACAAAGAUAAUUUCUUGGACAAACCGAUCUUAGGUUCCCUUAAAUUAACUUUAAAGCAAAGUGGUCACAAUACAAAGUAGAAAUUCUAUUUGUUCUAAAUUCAAACCCACAUAGUCUAAACUAGGGUAUUUUCGAAAAUGUUGUGCCACGCAUUUGAAUCAUUUUUAAAGCUCGCAGAAUAAGCAUCUCGUUCCCUUGCCCGGAUCUCACCCAUCCGUUUCUAAGAUUCAAUGCCUUAUCCUAAUAGAGUCACUUUUUGGUCUUUCCAAACGAGACCCUAAAUAAUGUUUGGUGGCGACUCCUUCAAAAUACAAAGAUACAAAGGUUCUAAAACCGCCCCCGUAGGAAGGGAAAAAGCAACGAAAAUACCCCCUACAGGGGGACCUAGAUAUAAUUCUGGGGAUGGAUUGGCUAAGUUUGUACAAGGCCAAGAUAGACUGUGAAAUUCAGAAAGUAAGUCUAAGGAACCCUACUAGAAAAUUGAUAUCAUAUAGGCGUUUUGAGAAGACCAAGAACUUUGGGGUGAUCUCUGCGAUGCAAGUGAAGAAAAUGGUUAAGAAGGGGUGUGCAUUAGUUUUCUGUAGUGUCCAAGAUGUGAAGGAAAUAAUGCCCUUGGUCCAAGUACGCAUUCAAUGCUAAAUCUAAUAAAUGCGGUUCAAUAUUAAUUAAUUAUACAAGUUAAUAAUUCAGUGAGAUCAAGUGAACUGUAUGCCUAGCUAGAGGCCGCUUCAGUUCAAGUGGAAUUAAUAAUAUUAAUCCACAGCUUACUCUUGACUGAACCCGUAGGGUCACACAAAUAGUACGUGAAAGGAUCAAGUAUUUAAGUGAAUUAAAUACUCCAUUUAUGGAUAUUCGGAAUCGACGGAUCUCGGUUCAAGUGGGAGUUGAAAUCGUCAAAAGGCAAAUUAUGAAUACUCCGGAAACGAUGAUAUUGCCGGAAACGGAAAUAUGGAUCGAAUCGGAAAUAUAAAUAUUAUCCAAGUCGUAGAUGUUGCCGGAAACGGAAACAUGGUACGUAUCGGAAAAUAUUAUCGGAAAUGGAAAUAUUGCUGGAAUCGGAAAUAUUGCCGGAAACGGAAAUAUUGUCGGAAUCGGAAAUAUUAUCGGAAUCGGAAAUAUUAAAUAUUUGUUCGAAACGGAAAUUAAUUCCGGAAUCGGAAAUAUUAAAUAUUGUUCGAAUCGGAAAUGAAUUCCGGAAUCGGAAAAUUAAUCGGAAGCGCGUCGUACGAAAUAAACAUCGGACGAGCUUUCUAGACGCAAGGCCCAGCACGAAGCCAGGCAUGCGCCUAGCAAGCCCAUGCGCGCAAGGCAACGCAGCAGCAAGCCAAGGCACGUAGGCCCAGCCAAGCAGCACGCAAGGCCAGGCCCAGCGCGCCCAAGCAUUGGGCUGCGAGCAGCGCUGUGGGCCGAGCCUGCUCCGCGCGCGCCUAACGCCCCUUGUGGGAUGUGCGUGCGUGUGUGCGUUAAGUUCGUGCAUGCAUCGAAUCCUUAAGCGACUAGGAUUAGAUAAAGAUUAAUUUACCUAAAGUUAGUAGAGUUAGUUGUUUAAUUAAACAAUAACUUAUUAGUUUUAAUUAAUGUCUAAUUCUAAUAGGAUUAGAUUAAUUGAAACCUAGUAGACUUCUAGUUCCAUUAUUCCAACCCUAUAAAUAGGUGAUGGCAUUCACAAUUUAUAAACACUUCAAUUCAAGUAUUCGUAUAGUUUUUAAGGUUAAAACUAAGAUAAUAAUUUGCCACAAUUAUAUUCGAAUAAACUUAAAACCUUAGGUUGAAUUCUAGUUAAUUAAAUCUAAGGCGGAUCCGAACGUGCUAUGGACUAUCUACGGAGGGAUUACACUUGGAGUCCUAAAGUUGUUCUUGUUCGGUUCGGGAGCAGCUAGGGAGGGCACGCUACAUAAGUAUAUAUCCUAAAUUAUGCUAAUUGUUAUGUGGCAAUUAAUUUGGAUUCCUGGCUUUAUGGUUUUUCCACAUGAAAUAUAUAUGCUUUAUAUGUAUCAUAACCUAACAGUGGUAUCACGAGCCUCUAAUUAAUUCCAUAAUAAAUUAUAGUUAACAUGGUUAAAUUUUAUAAAUUUGCAAUGAAUUAAAGGGGUGAUUAAUUUCGUUUUUUGUAAUUAAUUACAAAUUCGUGCGAUUAAUUAUAUGUUCGCAGAAUUUUCGGUAGUUUAGUCAAUAAUGGUCGGAAUCGUAUAAUUUUAUAGUGAAUUUCGCAUGUAAACGGCGUUUUAAAAUUUUGACUAAAAUCAAAGAUUUGAUGUCGAACCCAGAAUUCCCAAAUUCGAAGCCUAACUAUGACUUUUCGGAGGUUUUAGUUUUUCGAACACAAAAAUUUGUAAUUUUUAAGAUGUUAAAUUAAAUAUUUGCGAUUCUUGUUUGUAAAUCUUGAAUCUAUGAUUGACCUACUGUAUAUGUUUAACAAUUUUAAUGCCUAUACUUGUUAAUUAUACAACCUAAUUUGUAAUUGUAAUUAAUUUGUUGAAAUUCGAAUAAUUUAGAAUUUGAUUUGAUUUUCAUAAUUAAUUGAAAAUUUAAUUAGGAAUCCAUGAUUAAAAACCACCAUAAAAUUUGUUAAAUUUGGUAAAUUUUAAAAUUUUAUGACCUAGAUUUGAAUCCAUGGAAAUAAACUUGAUCAGAAAUUAAUUUGAAUAAUAAAUUUUCGAUUUUCCGCCCUAAAUUUAUGAAAUUAAUAUGAUUUAUUAAUUAGUCUAUAAAUUUAAAUUAUAAAGUUUUGAUUUUCAUGUAAUCCUCUCAUGAAUCUUGUACGCACAAAGCAAUGGACGCUAACUGUUACCCUUAAGGGGUGUUGUAUAGUGCGGGCAUGCAACGACGAGCAAGGGAGCUCGUCGCCCAUGCGGUACUUAUGCAGCGAGCAAGCGAGUGGCACGCGAGCACAUGGCAGUAGCCCUGCCUUGCGUCGAGUGCUGCGAUGAGGCAUGGGAGGAUGGGCGAGCGACAAGGCACAAGCGAGCAAGGCAGGCUGCGCGCGGGCAGCGAGGGAUGCCUCGCAGCAGCGAGCGCUGCCUCGCCCACAGCGAGGGAUGCCUCGCCCACAGCGAGUGCUGCCUCGCCAAGCCUGCUGCUGCGCUACGACGACACAGCGAGCAAGCUGCUGCGCGCAAGCGUGGCUUGCUGCGUUUGCGCGUGGCUGCUGUUCGUGCCUUGCUGUACGAUCACUCGUGAGGGGCGAUGCUGCCUCGUGGACUCGACGGGGCAUGGGCGCAAGCCCAUGGCCUCGUCUUGACCCGAUUGAUACGCUUUAAUUUAAUUUUAAUUUUCAGUUGGAAAACGAUUUUAAUUGAAUUUAAAAUUCGUAAUUUAAUUUUUUUUUUCUCGGAAUUUAAUUUUGAAUAAUUUAAUUAUUAUGAAUUCUAUUAAUACUAAUUAUUUUACUAAAAUUAAAACCUUGAUAAAUUUUAAAUUAAUUAAUUUUAAUCAACUGAAAAUAAAAUUAAGGAUUUAAAUAAUAUUUUAUAUGAGCUUUAAAUUUUAAUUAAAUUUGUAAGUUUCCGGUUGGACUAGGAAAUACAAUUUUAUGUUUAAAAUAUGUAAAGCAUGUAAAUUCUUGGUUUUAGUGGGAGGAUUUUAGUCAUUAAACUCUUGAUUAGGUCUACAUUCCUUUAAGGUUAAAACAACUCGAUUAUAAUUAAUAAGGAUUAAAUAAUUUGUAGAUUAUUGGAAGCCUUGAUUAAUUGUUGCAAAUAUUUAUGUGAUGCAUAAUAUGUUCUACUAACUUGCUAUGUGGGCCACUCGUUGAUAAAUGAAUGGGUGAAUGGUAUAUUGUAAAUGUACUGUUUUGCAGGUUAUUGAAAGUGACUAGUAUGGCCCAAAUAGGAUAGAAAAUAUGGUCCGCGUACCAUUAAUUUGAAUGUGAAAUUGGUCUAAUGCACCAAAGUUUUUAAUUUUAAAUAUGGUCUGCGUACCAUCAAAUAGUUGUAAUUAGUUUCAAUUAUAGCUUAUCCUAUUUGAAGAAAAUGGCGCCUCUCAUGGUGAAAUUCAAGAAGGAGUUUCCAAUCCAUUUUCAAGGCGGAGUUUGAAGUUGAAGCUUCAAGAUGAAGUCGGGCCAUAAUAGAUCACAUUUAUAUCUUAUGCAUGCUUUAAGUUAUUUAUUGCUUUAAAUAUGUCUUAAUUAUGCAUGAGAUUAUGGCUUGAUUAUGUUGCAUGAUUAAGGAUUUUAGUUCACUUAAAAUCUAACCAACAUAGUAAGAGCCUUAAGUUCCAAACUUUAAAAAUUGAGUUCAAAGGUGUCAUGCCAAAAUAACACUUACUUGGAUAACUUUUACAUCAAUCUUAGUAAUAGUUUUCCGCCAUAGGUAGUUGUUAUUUAUUGAUCCUAAAGGGGUAAGGUACACAAAUAAUUGUGAGUACAUGUUAGUUUUGGUGAAACUCAACGAUAUAAGUAAGGAGUCCUUUUAUGUCGUGGCAAAAUCGAUAGGUUUACCUAAUAAGUUCUUAGACGUACCUAUCAACCAAGAGUAGUUUCUACACUAUUAGCAAAGGCUUUGCUUAUCUAAAAUAUUUUAGAAUUAAGUCUAAAUAUAUAAUGUGCUUAAUUCUUCAAUGAUUUAAGGAUCUUGGAAUAAUUUUAUUCACACCUGCCGGAACACAUAACUUGAAUAAAAUUCUUAAUAAAUGAUAAAUUAUGCAUGUAUGCUAGAAUUUAACUUUAUUAAGAGCUGUGAAUGGUUAUUUAUUUGUUUAUUCUUUUCAAUUGUAGUUUUAACUAUGGAAAACAACAAUUCAUUCAACAUCCGAUCAAUUCUCGAAAAGGAGAAAUUGAACGGGAAAAACUUCCUUGACUGGCAAAGGAACUUGCAAAUAGUUCUUAUGCAGGAAGAAAAGGAGUAUGUCCUGGAAGAGGCGAUGCCCGAAGCCGCUGGCGACGGGGUCACUCAUGCAGCCCUCAAUCUUUGGAUUGAUGCCAACAAGGAUGUAAAAUGUCUAAUGCUUGCAACCAUGAGUGCAGAUCUACAGAAAACGUUCAUCAACUCAGAUGCUUUCACAAUCAUCAGUGAGUUAAAGAACAUGUUCCAAGAUCUAGCUCGAGUCGAAAGAUUCGAGACUCAUAGGCAAAUUCUUGAGACUAAGCUUAAGAAAGGCGAGCCCGUAAGUCCACAUGUUCUCAAAAUGAUUGGACUCAUUGAGAAUAUGAGUCGGCUGGAUUAACAAUUCUCUCAGGAAAUGGUUGUAGACACCAUCCUCCAUUCUCUUCAUAGCGGGUAUGAUCAGUUCAAGCUGAACUACAGUAUGAAUAGUCUGGACAAAACGCUCACUGAGCUUCACGGUAUGCUGAAGACCGCUGAAAAGAUGCUCAAAAGUGAUAAGCAGGAUGUGCUUAUGGUGCGUGGGGGCAAGUUCAAGAAAUCUGGCAAAAAGAGGAAUGCUAAGAAAGGUGGCAAGAAGGCCAGCCCAACUAAGCAAUCUGGCGGCACCAAGUCUGAAAAGAAGAAGGUGAGCCAACCCACUUCUGAAUCUGAAUGCUUCUACUGCAAGAAGAAGGGGCAUUGGAAGAGAGAUUGCUUGAAGCUUAAGGAAGAUCAGAAGAACGGAACAGUCGUUCCAUCUUCAGGGACUAAGAAGAAGUAGAAGGUUAAGCAAGGGUGAAGUCGACCUACGAGUGGGAAAUAGAGCACGGAUUGUUGCAUUAGCUGUAGGAACUUAUUAUUUGUCGUUGCCCUCUGGCCUAGUUUUGGAACUGGAAGAUUGUUUCCAUGUUCCAAGUCUUACUAAAAAC